rnacentral:rRNA from 1 species
CAUGCAAGUCGAGGGGCAGCAUGAUUGAAGCUUGCUUCAAUUGAUGGCGACCGGCGCACGGGUGAGUAACGCGUAUCCAACCUUCCGUACACUCAGGGAUAGCCUUUCGAAAGAAAGAUUAAUACCUGAUGGUAUGAUGAGAUUGCAUGAUAUCAUCAUUAAAGAUUCAUCGGUGUACGAUGGGGAUGCGUUCCAUUAGGUAGUAGGCGGGGUAACGGCCCACCUAGCCGACGAUGGAUAGGGGUUCUGAGAGGAAGGUCCCCCACAUUGGAACUGAGACACGGUCCAAACUCCUACGGGAGGCAGCAGUGAGGAAUAUUGGUCAAUGGACGAGAGUCUGAACCAGCCAAGUAGCGUGAAGGAUGAAGGUCCUACGGAUUGUAAACUUCUUUUAUAAGGGAAUAAAACCUCCCACGUGUGGGAGCUUGUAUGUACCUUAUGAAUAAGCAUCGGCUAACUCCGUGCCAGCAGCCGCGGUAAUACGGAGGAUGCGAGCGUUAUCCGGAUUUAUUGGGUUUAAAGGGAGCGCAGACGGGUCGUUAAGUCAGCUGUGAAAGUUUGGGGCUCAACCUUAAAAUUGCAGUUGAUACUGGCGUCCUUGAGUGCGGUUGAGGUGUGCGGAAUUCGUGGUGUAGCGGUGAAAUGCUUAGAUAUCACGAAGAACUCCGAUUGCGAAGGCAGCACACUAAGC